rnacentral:tRNA from 1 species
GGGCCCGUAGCUCAGUGGUAGAGCGUCGGCUUUGCAAGCCGAAGGCCCCGGGUUCGAAUCCCGGCGGGUCCACCA